rnacentral:rRNA from 1 species
UGGGGAAUUUUCCGCAAUGGGCGAAAGCCUGACGGAGCAACGCCGCGUGAGGGAGGAAGGUCUUUGGAUUGUAAACCUCUUUUCUCAAGGAAGAAGUAAGUGACGGUACUUGAGGAAUAAGCAUCGGCUAACUUCGUGCCAGCAGCCGCGGUAAUACGAGGGAUGCAAGCGUUAUCCGGAAUUAUUGGGCGUAAAGCGUCCGCAGGUGGCAAUCCAAGUCUGCCGUUAAAGAGUGGAGCUCAACUCCAUAAAGGCGGUGGAAACUGGAUAGCUAGAGAGCAGUAGGGGUAGCAGGAAUUCCCAGUGUAGCGGUGAAAUGCGUAGAGAUUGGGAAGAACAUCGGUGGCGAAAGCGUGCUACUGGGCUGUAUCUGACACUCAGGGACGAAAGCCAGGGGAGC